AUGAUUGUCCAAAGUGGACUUUUCCAAUAAAAUACCGUAUUCAGCUAGCUUCUGCUGCACACGUUGCAUUGGUUAGGCAAGCAGUUUCUAUCUGGCAGCAACAGACUUGUAUAACAUUUACGGAGGCAACAACAAUAACUGCACCAGCUAUUAACUUUAAGGAAAAUGAAUCUGGGUGCUGGUCUUAUGUUGGUAAAGGGAACUCUGCUAUUAAUGACAUUAACCUCCA